UGUAUGCAGAACGAUAAGUAAACCCCGUGCCAAAAUUUAAAGACGUCACAUCCGGUACAAGAUGCUUCAGUCCACUACACGGUACGCCUGGGUCGAGAAGGACUGAAGGCGUGGGUGACCGUACAGCUCAACGAUGCUAAGUGCUGCUGAGAUGAAGCCAGGCUUGGCCCUGCUCAGACCUCCUGACUGACAUCUUCUACUCCAGCUUGACUUUAAACUGAACAAUAAGGAGUGGAAGAGUCUCAGAUGUCGGGUGCAGAAGUCUCAUGCCAAACUUCCUGAGGGAGGUCAAGUGAACUAGAGAUGAAGCCAGGUUCGGCCCUGCUCAGACCUCCUGACUGACAUCUACUGUUGCAGCAUGAACUGAACGGUAAGGUCAGUUUUAUUUUUUCAUGUAAUGCCAAAACAUGCCCUUUUCCCGAUCCCAUAUCUUAAAAACAUUGCUCGUGUGCAGACCUUCCAGCGAGGCUCAGCCUGCAGUGGCUCUGAUCUUUCCUGUAGUGUCUGCUAGAGAGAUGUGAGGCCGUUUGAGGCCCUGCUGUGUCUCCUCAUGGCAGGGUUAUAGAUUUCCCAGAGUUGGAGUUCAUCUGCAGAGGGAAAUGAUAGGUCACAUUUGUGUAUCUACAGAACAUCUCUGUAAUGGUUUUCUUGUGUGUCAACACUGUUGAAAUAAACGUUAUGAACUCA